UACAGAGGGGGCAAGCGUUGUUCGGAAUUACUGGGCGUAAAGGGCGCGUAGGCGGCCUGCUAAGUCGAACGUGAAAUCCCCGGGCUCAACCCGAGAACUGCGUCCGAUACUGGCUGGCUUGAAUUCGGGAGAGGGAUGCGGAAUUCCAGGUGUAGCGGUGAAAUGCGUAGAUAUCUGGAGGAACACCGGUGGCGAAGGCGGCAUCCUGGACCGAGAUUGACGCUGAUGCGCGAAAGCCAGGGGAGCAAACGGG
rnacentral:rRNA from 1 species